AGGACGAACGCUGGCGGCGUGCCUAACACAUGCAAGUCGAGCGGUAAGGCCCUUUCGGGGGUACACGAGCGGCGAACGGGUGAGUAACACGUGGGUGACCUGCCCUUAGCUCUGGGAUAAGCCUGGGAAACUGGGUCUAAUACCGGAUAUGACCUCAUGACGCAUGUUGUGGGGUGGAAAGCCUUGUGCGGCUAGGGAUGGGCCCGCGGCCUAUCAGCUUGUUGGUGGGGUGAUGGCCUACCAAGGCGACGACGGGUA
rnacentral:rRNA from 1 species